UUGUUCGCGAAUAUUCAAUUUGGAAUGCGAUUUUGUUAAUAAAAAAAAUACUUAUAACUUAUGCAAAACCCAAGCGAGGCAUUUAUAUUUAUUUCUUUUGCGUUCAUUUUCAAAUUCGCCGUGCAUAUAUUUUUGUGCAUGGCGCUUGAGAGGGAAUCACGUGACUAAAAACGACCAACCAACGACCUCGCUUCGGCCAUCUUGGCAUCUUCAUCUUCAUCUUGGCGACCUUGCCGUUGCCCGGCCUUGCCUUGCCGUGGAUUGUUGUUUGUAUUUUGUAUUAUUUGUGCUUUUUAAGAAUAUUUUUUUAAUUCGGAUACUUUUAUAAUAGCUUUAAUAGUAUUAUUAACAUAGUGCAUAAAAUGGUGUCCUGUUUUUAACGCAGUUGGAGUAGCAGAAACAAAUGUAGAUAAAAAAUCUGCAGGAAUAACGUUUCAAUUAUGACAGAAGCUCAAAACAAAUGACUGUGAAUGAAAAGCCCUAUUAAAAGCUUUCCAGAAGAUCCUGCGAAGAAGACAAGAAAGUAUAGAUUAGAUUUGUUAAUAGAGGAGUAUGUUCAAAACACUUUUUAGAAAAAGAUAUUGACAGAACUUCACUUUCAUCUGUUCGUUUGAGAGACUGUGCUGUUCCAAUAGCUUAUGUCACACAGAAUCAGCUGGGAGAAGUGGUCUACAAAAAACCAGAAAGGAAACGGAAUAUGUGGCUACGAAAAGCAAAAGAAAGGUUUACAAAGCAAAUGUGACACAUUUUUUAAUAAUAUUUAGGAAUGUCAGCAAAUUACAUUAAAAAAUGUAUGUAAAGAUUUUUUGCAAUAAAAAUGUUUAUAUUUA